rnacentral:rRNA from 1 species
AACGGACGAGAAGCUUGCUUCUCUGAUGUUAGCGGCGGACGGGUGAGUAACACGUGGAUAACCUACCUAUAAGACUGGGAUAACUUCGGGAAACCGGAGCUAAUACCGGAUAAUAUUUUGAACCGCAUGGUUCAAAAGUGAAAGACGGUCUUGCUGUCACUUAUAGAUGGAUCCGCGCUGCAUUAGCUAGUUGGUAAGGUAACGGCUUACCAAGGCAACGAUGCAUAGCCGACCUGAGAGGGUGAUCGGCCACACUGGAACUGAGACACGGUCCAGACUCCUACGGGAGGCAGCAGUAGGGAAUCUUCCGCAAUGGGCGAAAGCCUGACGGAGCAACGCCGCGUGAGUGAUGAAGGUCUUCGGAUCGUAAAACUCUGUUAUUAGGGAAGAACAUAUGUGUAAGUAACUGUGCACAUCUUGACGGUACCUAAUCAGAAAGCCACGGCUAACUACGUGCCAGCAGCCGCGGUAAUACGUAGGUGGCAAGCGUUAUCCGGAAUUAUUGGGCGUAAAGCGCGCGUAGGCGGUUUUUUAAGUCUGAUGUGAAAGCCCACGGCUCAACCGUGGAGGGUCAUUGGAAACUGGAAAACUUGAGUGCAGAAGAGGAAAGUGGAAUUCCAUGUGUAGCCGGUGAAAUGCGCAGAGAUAUGGACGGACCACCAGUGGCGAAG